AUUUGACAUGGUAAUUCUUUUGUUGUUUNACCAACUCUUCUCUCCGUGGAGAUAGCUGGUCGUCAAUGGGCCCCAACUCAACGAAUAAACCUACUGAUGUCGAUACAUCUUUGCCCGAUUAGUUACCCUAAAUCACUAAUCACGUGUUCAUGAAGGUGGAUUGGACGAACUAGAAAUAUUUUCCAUUUCAUUGUCUAAUACCGCAUAACAAAUAUGCGCUAACAGUUCUCUCACCAACCCAAUUGGCAUCAAACCCCAUUCAUGGAUUCCCUACUUAACGAGUCUUAUCACUCAUCUGUUGUUCGUUUGUAAACUUAGUGCCAACAUGCUGCAUACAGGCCAGGUUCGUGCAGUAACUUAGCUAGAUAGUGCAUUCAAAUCGACAUUUUUACCGUUAUGAUCAUGUUGUAGAAUGUUGAGGUGUGUAAUUUACAAAGCCAUUGAGUCUUUUUAUCCAUUCUUGGUUCUUUAAUAUAUCCAAAUUCAUGAUUUUCUAAUAGCGUUUUCAUUCGCACAUUCUACACGCUGAAUUUGUGUGGUAAAACUAGAAAAUGAGUUCAUUGAAGUCCAAUUUUUUUGUACGUAUUCAUUAGAUGUCAAUGCCGCUUAAUCUGCAAGUCCUUCAACUUGU
rnacentral:lncRNA from 1 species